rnacentral:lncRNA from 1 species
AUAUUAGUUGAAUUAUUUUUUUUAUUUUCGUUAAAAUUAUAAACCAGAGAAUUAUCUGCUACCGCGCCGGUGGUGGUUUCUCCUCCUCCCCUGCUGUCAUCCCAAUUGCCCCUAACAUCUCUUACUCCGCCGUCGCUGGUGGCGAACCAGCUUUUGCGCACUCUGGUCCGGCGGUUACAGCCUUCUCUGUUGUCUUUACCCGGUAAACGCCUCUACAAUAACGAUAUCGUCCUCCUCCAAUCCCUCUUUGUCAGCGACGAACUGAUUUGCGCUACGGAGACGAACAAUACACCGCCGGUAACCUGCUGGAGAACGGAGAAUAGCACUGAAGAGUUACCCAACGAUAAUCUCAGAAUGGGUAAAAUCACAUCCGAGUUCGGGUUUUCAUGUGGGAUUGUUGAGGAAGUAACUCAAUGGUUGAAACCACAGAAAGACAAUUUGGGAACUUUUCAAUGGUGAACAUCGAAGCUAGGGGAAACCAUGUUAAUGGGGUUAACUCAGAUGGUGAGUUAGUUUACAGAGGAGAUAGCAUAUCAACUUGAUGUUUAUACACUUAAAAUUACAAUAUAACUACCAUUUAUAAAUUAAACAUGUUCAGUGGAUGGUUUGUAAAGGGAAAAUGUGUUUAUAUUUAGGGGAACUCACCACCAUGAGACUAUUUGAUCAUCUCCUUAGAUUUGAUGGGAAUAUAUAUUUAGAUACAUCCAACGGUUAAUAUCACACUUCAGCAGUACCCUCUCAAAGGCAAAAGUGCGGACAAUCGCCACUGUUGAACGUUUGAUUGUUGAAGAAUAAGAAUCUGGAUAAGAUUGAUAGCACCUCUCUCAUGCCAAACCAUAAAAAUCUAUCCAACCCACCGUUUUUGGUUCUCAACACAAAGAAAAGGUUAUGGCUACCACAAUCAAAUCAAAGAAUUUUAUUGUUUUAUAUUGUAUAAUAUUCAAAAUUUAUAUAAAAAAAAACUCAAUUCAACCUCUCUCG